UAUUAAAUGAGUUUGAUCCCGGCUCAGGAAAAACGCAAGAGACGUGCCUAACACAUGCAAAUUAAAUAGUUUAUUAUUAAAUAUAGUGUAUUGGUGAGUAAUAUAUGAAAAUUUAAUUUGAGAUUAGAAGUAUUCUUAAUAACUUAGGGAUAAUCUCUGAUAAGCACAUUUAUUUAAAUUUUGCUUUUAAAAAGUUAAAACUGUCUAAAAAAAAGUUCAUAUAUGAUUAGCUAAUUAAUAAGAUAAUAACUUAUUAAGGCGAAGAUCAGUAGCUGCCCUGAGAGGGGGAUCAGCCACAUUGGGAUUGAAAUACAGCCCAAACUCCUACGGGAGGCUGCAGUGGGGAAUCUUCUGCAAUGAGCGCAAGCUUGACAGAGCAUCGUCGCUUGAAGGAAGACAGCUUAUUAUAGUUGUAAACUUCUUUUGCUUAAAAGUAAAUACUGACACUUAAGUAAAUAAAGUAUGGGCAAAUUCCGUGCCAGCAGCCGCGGUAAAACAGGGGAUACAAGCGUUAUCCGGAAUUACUGGGCGUAAAGCGUAUGCAGGUGGUUUUAAUAUAUUUUUAUAUAAAAAAAACUAUAUAUUUGUUUUUAGUAAAAAAGUUAUUAAACUAGAGUUUGUUAGGGGUAAAAGGAGUUUUUUGAGGAGUAGUGAAAUGCGAAGAUACAAAAAAGAAGACCAAAAGCGAGCAUUUUACUGGAGCAAUACUGACACUGAGAUACGAAAGUUAAGGUCGCAAAUGGGAUUAGAUACCCCAGUAGUCUUGACUGUAAACUAUGGAUACUCGGAAUAAAAUAUGUAUUAUAUCUUAUUCCUUAGCUAACGCGUUAAGUAUCACGCCUGAGUAGUACGCUCGCAAGAUUGAAACUCUUGACGGGGGCUCGCACAGGCGGUGGAGCAUGUGGUUUAGUUCGAUGUAAAACGAAGAACCUUGCCAGAGUUUGAAAUAUUUGUUUUUAAAAAAUUAAUAAUUUUUUAUAAUUACAAAUACAGGAGGUGCAUGGCUGUCGUCAGCUCGUGUCGUGAGAUUUUGGGUUAAGUCACGUAACGAGCGUAGCCAUUAUUUAAAGUUACCUAGCUUUAAAAACAGCCUAUAUUUAUUAUAUAAAUAAGGAGGAAGGAAUGGAAAACGUCAGGUCUUUAUGCCCUUUAUACUCUGGGCUAUACACGUGCUACAAUGGAUGGUACAAUAAAAUUUGAUAUUAGAGAAAACAGUUUUUUCUUUAAUUCUAUUUGGAAAAAUAGAUAUAAAUAUAUUUUAAAAACAUUCUUAGUUCGAAACAUAAAUUGCAAUUUAUUUAUUUGAAGCUGGAAUCGCUAGUAACCGCCGGGCAGUCUUACGGCGGUGAAUAAGUCAUCGAGCCUUCUACACACCGCCCGUCACACCAUGGGAAUUAAUUAUUGUUGAAACUCCUUUUUAAGAACAUAAAUAAGAAUUAAUAACUGGGGUGAAGUCGUAACAAGGUAGCAGUACUGGAAGGUGCUGCUGGAUAAUAUACUUA
rnacentral:rRNA from 1 species